CAGCAGCCACGGUAAUACGAAGGGGGCUAGCGUUGUUCGGAUUUACUGGGCGUAAAGGGCGCGUAGGCGGACUGAUAAGUCAGGGGUGAAAUCCCAAGGCUCAACCUUGGAACUGCCUUUGAUACUGUUUGUCUUGAGUUCGAGAGAGGUAAGUGGAACUGCGGGUGUAGAGGUGAAAUUCGUAGAUAUUCGCAAGAACACCAGUGGCGAAGGCGGCUUACUGGCUCGAAACUGACGCUGAGGCGCGAAAGCGUGGGGAGCAAACAGGAUUAGAUACCCGUGUAGUCCCUGUCUCUUAUAA
rnacentral:rRNA from 1 species